UCUGAUUCUUCGGAUGAAGACUUUUGUGACUGAGCGGCGGACGGGCGAGUAACGCGUGGGUAACCUGCCUCAUACAGGGGGAUAACAGUUAGAAAUGACUGCUAAUACCGCAUAAGACCACGGUACCGCAUGGUGCAGUGGUAAAAACUCCGGUGGUAUGAGAUGGACCCGCGUCUGAUUAGGUAGUUGGUGGGGUAACGGCCUACCAAGUCACGAUCAGUAGCCGGACUGAGAGGUUGAACGGCCACAUUGGGACUGAGAUACGGCCCAGACUCC
rnacentral:rRNA from 1 species